CGGAGGAUCCGAGCGUUAUCCGGAUUUAUUGGGUUUAAAGGGUGCGCAGGCGGGAGAUUAAGUCGGCGGUGAAAUUUUGCAGCUCAACUGUAAAAGUGCCUUCGAAACUGGUUUCCUUGAGUGUAGAUGAAGUAGGCGGAAUUUGUGGUGUAGCGGUGAAAUGCAUAGAUAUCACGAGGAACUCCGAUUGCGAAGGCAGCUUACUAAGCUACUACUGACGCUCAGGCACGAAGGCGUGGGGAUCAAACAGGAUUAGAUACCCCCGUAGU
rnacentral:rRNA from 1 species